CACAAGCGGUGGAGUAUAGUGGUUAAUCGACGCAACGCGCAGAACCUUACCUGGUCUUGACAUCCCGGGAAUUUCCUUGAAAGAGGGAAGUGCCUCGCAAGAGGAGCCUGGAGACAGGUGCUGCAUGGCUGUCGUCAGCUCGUGUCGUGAGAUGUUGGGUUAAGUCCCGCAACGAGCGCAACCCUUGUCUUUAGUUGCCAUCAUUCAGUUGGGCACUCUAAAGAGACUGCCGGUGUCAAACCGGAGGAAGGUGGGGAUGACGUCAAGUCCUCAUGGCCUUUAUGACCAGGGCUACACACGUACUACAAUGGUUGGUACAACGAGUUGCGAGUCGGUGACGGCGAGCUAAUCUCUUAAAGCCAAUCUCAGUUCGGAUUGUAGGCUGCAACUCGCCUACAUGAAGUCGGAAUCGCUAGUAAUCGCGGAUCAGCACGCCGCGGUGAAUACGUUCCCGGGCCUU
rnacentral:rRNA from 1 species